CAUGGUUAAAGUGCCGAAAACUAAUUCAUGUCAAGUCAGUGGAGGAGGAUGAACACAGGGCAGGAUUGACCGGUGGCUGGAGGGGAGUCUGUGGGGUUUUCAGUCCAGACCUUGCGCCAGACAAGACAAUAGCAGGUCCUGAGUCAGUGCAGCGGGCCCCGAGUGGGAGCAGACGGGAAUAUUGAGCACCCCAUGAUUAAUCGGACCCAGUGGCCUGACAGCUUUACGGUCUACACUGAAAGUGAGUGACGUGACAAAACUAGAAUGAUGAAAUAGAGCUUUAGUGUUUCUUUGAUUACCAUGUUCUAGUUUUAUUGUGCUACAUUGUUCACUGUCAGUGCAGAUAGGAAGUUUCAAACUAAACGGAUCAUUU